AGAAUUUGUUGACUCACCCUGAAUGUGUCUGUUGUACUGCUGUUGCACAGGACAGUGUUCAGGGUGUGAAACAAUGUGUUUGUUUUUGAAAGGGCAUGCUGAUUGAAGGACCACCAGGACCCCCUGGCCCAGCUGUGAGUAUAUUGUUAAAAACCUGAGCAUAUUUAGGCACCAUUGUUUUCAGAAUGUAAUGAGCUUGCCUAUUGGUGGUCUGCUAGCAUAUCCUUUGUCUUUUAGGGUCUUCCAGGUCCCUCAGGCCUGCAAGGACCCCCAGGCACUUCUGGAGAUCCUGGUGACAGGGGUCCACCUGGUCGUGCUGGUCUUCCUGGUGCUGAUGGUUUGGCAGGGCCCCCUGGUACUAUGCUGAUGCUGCCAGUAAGUGCUCAGAAUGAAACACCCCAAAACUACCUUCCAGCCACCUUGUUCAUAUAAUUCCAUUACAAAGCUAAUUUCUUUGGUAUUUGAUAGUGAUGACAAACAGAAAUAGGAACUAAAAGCCUGUGUCUGUGUGUGUUCAACAGUUCCGUUUUGGUGGAGAUGGUGAGAAGGGUCCAGUGGUGUCGGCCCAAGAAGCUCAAGCCCAGGCCAUCCUCUCCCAGGCCAGAGUAGGUAGAAGGGACAUUAAAAAGGCCACUGAGAAGCUCAAAGGCUGUGGACAAACCCCCCAACCCCCGCCCUGCUCCUCCACACAGCUGUAGGAGGAGAGGAGGGGAAGGAUGAAGGAUUUUGGUGGGGAGGGGAGGGGGGGACACACUGCAUUUCGUUGGCCUUGCAAGGCUAAAAGGAGACAUGCCGAGCUGGCUGAAGAGCAACAAAAAAAAAAAGUCCACUUUGAACAGAUGGACAGACAGGAGAGACUGUUAAAAAUACUUUAGGGGCCCUUGACCUGUGUGUGGGCUAAACCAACAGGUGUAGAAAAUGUCUUUGUCUAUGUGUGGGAUCAGGCAGUUAGAAGAAAAGGGAAAAUCUGCACUUGUUAUUUGGGGGUCAUGUCUGAUUCUUGCAUGAUAUCCCACAUUAACUGCACAGUGAGAGACCUCAGAGAACAAAAAGAUUAAGCAUGGAAGUAAACCUUUGAGUUUGCUGUACCAUUAGACAACACAGUAAUAAAGCAAUUACAGAAAGAUACAGCAUGUACACAGUAUGCACAAACAUUUUGAAUUAAGAACGCUAUGCCAACUUAUCAUUACAUUUUAAAUAUAAUUAAAAUGUUAUUGGGAAUAUGUAAUAUGAUUGGUCAUUUACCCACAAAAAUCCAGAUGCUCUUAAAAUGAGUGUUGAAAAUGAAAUUCAGUUCAGCAUGCAAGGACAAACAUACCAUGGCAUGGAUAAUAAAUAGCAUUUCACAAAAACAAGGUGUAAUGUUUAAAAUUUAAGAAUGACACAGGACGAAAGGAAAACAAUUCAACAACAUUUUACAAGCGCACAUAAUCUGCUAUAUAUACAAUAUGUAGGUACACAUAGAGUAGAUUUUUUAAAAUUGAUUAUACUGAGUGGUUUUUGACCUGGUUCUUGUGUGUGUGCCUGCCCUACAGCUGGCCAUGAGGGGACCCCCUGGGCCGAUGGGUUUGACAGGAAGAUCUGGGCCAGUGGUGAGUCUGCUUGUUUGUUUUUUGUCUUUAUUUUGUGGUUGUUUCUGUGUAUUUGGCUCUUUACUCUAUUGGCAACAGAGCUUUUCCAACGCAUGUCUAUUAU
ensembl:lncRNA